AAGACUAUACUUUCAGGGAUCAUUUCUAUAGUUCAUCACUAGAGAAGUUCCUCUGAAGGUGCAGAGCACCUAAAACCACGAGGAGGAGGCGUAGUGUUCUCUCCUGAGUGUGAGGCUGACUUUUGGUGUUGCUUUUGCAACUGCUAAUAGCCACUGACGGUUGCUCUUCUCUUCCUUUGGAAGAGUAAGAGGCAGAGAAUGAAGUCUGAGUGGG